UAUCAAUAAGCGGAGGAAAAGAAACCAACAGGGGAUUGCCCUAGUAACGGCGAGUGAAGCGGCAACAGCUCAAAUUUGAAAUCUGGCCUCCUUUGGUGGUCCGAGUUGUAAUUUGCAGAGGGUGCUUUGGCGUCGGCAGCGGUCUAAGUUCCUUGGAACAGGACAUCACAGAGGGUGAGAAUCCCGUACGUGGUCGCCUGCCUUCGCCGUGUAAAGCCCCUUCGACGAGUCGAGUUGUUUGGGAAUGCAGCUCUAAAUGGGAGGUAAAUUUCUUCUAAAGCUAAAUACCGGCCAGAGACCGAUAGCGCACAAGUAGAGUGAUCGAAAGAUGAAAAGCACUUUGGAAAGAGAGUCAAACAGCACGUGAAAUUGUUGAAAGGGAAGCGCUUGCAGCCAGACUUGCCCGCAGUUGCUCAUCGGAUCUUUUGCUCCGAGCACUCUUCUGCGGGCAGGCCAGCAUCAGUUUGGGCGACCGGAUAAUGGCCUCUGUCAUGUAUCUUCCUUCGGGAUGACCUUAUAGGGGAGGCGUAAUGCGGCCAGCCCGGACUGAGGUCCGCGCAUCUGCUAGGAUGCUGGCGUAAUGGCUGUAAGCGGCCCGUCUUGAAACACGGACCAAGGAGUCUAACAUCUAUGCGAGUGUUUGGGUGUCAAGCCCGGGCGCGUAAUGAAAGUGAACGGAGGUGGGAACCCUCUCGGGGGUGCACCAUCGACCGAUCCUGAUGUCUUCGGAUGGAUUUGAGUAAGAGCAUAGCUGUUGGGACCCGAAAGAUGGUGAACUAUGCUUGAAUAGGGUGAAGCCAGAGGAAACUCUGGUGGAGGCUCGCAGCGGUUCUGACGUGCAAAUCGAUCGUCAAAUUUGGGCAUAGGGGCGAAAGACUAAUCGAACUAUCUAGUAGCUGGGUCCUG
rnacentral:rRNA from 1 species